AGGUUCACCAUCGCUGUCCUAGGGCAUAUUUCUUCGAAUAAUAGCUGAGGAACAGGUAUAAAUUAGAAACAGAUAGAUAUAUAGCAACAAAUUAGAGUGCUUGGAAUUUUAGUACUCACCAGACUCACCAGCCUAUCUCCUUCUUUAAAAGAAAUCCCUAAAGCAGACUUGAUUUCCUGGCUGGAAGGAGGAGAAGAUCCAUUUGUCCAGAUCUCUGAUGAGCAGAAGAGAUUGGCAGGUGCCUGCUUAGGGGAUGACAACUGCCAGAACCUACCACACGUGUCAUGGGAAGAUAAGGAGCCUGAAGAAGCAAGAGCGUUAUUUGGGAAUCUAAAGGGACCAGAGAAUCAUGUGCAAAACCAGUCCAAAAAAGGAAAGAAAAAAUCCUCAAAUUCUCAGGAUGGAGAUGGCAAAUUAAAGAGCUAUGGUAUAAUCCAGCAAG
rnacentral:lncRNA from 1 species